GUUUGUAAAUGAUGAGAAUAAAAUAUCACAGUUAUCCCUGUCUGAUUCACUUGUGCUGACGUCUUUGUGAUCUGAUACAAAC